GCGGCAUGCUUAACACAUGCAAGUCGAACGGUAACAGGCCUAGCUUGCUAGGUGCUGACGAGUGGCGGACGGGUGAGUAACGCGUAGGAAUCUGCCCUAUAGUGGGGGAUAACACUGGGAAACUAGUGCUAAUACCGCAUAAUCCCUGAGGGGGAAAGGCUUCGGCCGCUAUUGGAUGAGCCUGCGUCAGAUUAACUAGUUGGUGGGGUAAAGGCCUACCAAGGCGAAGAUCUGUAGCUGUUCUGAGAGGAAGAUCAGCCACACUGGGACUGAGACACGGCCCAGACUCCUACGGGAGGCAGCAGUGGGGAAUAUUGGACAAUGGGCGCAAGCCUGAUCCANCAAUGCCGCGUGUGUGAAGAAAGCCUGUGGGUUGUAAAGCACUUUCAGAGGGGAGGAAAGGUCCGUNAGGAUUUUGACGUUACCCUCAGAAGAA
rnacentral:rRNA from 1 species